rnacentral:rRNA from 1 species
AACGAACGCUGGCGGCAGGCUUAACACAUGCAAGUCGAGCGCCCCGCAAGGGGAGCGGCAGACGGGUGAGUAACGCGCGGGAAUCUACCCAUCUCUACGGAAUAACGCAUGGAAACAUGUGCUAAUACCGUAUACGUCCUUCGGGAGAAAGAUUUAUCGGAGAUGGAUGAGCCCGCGUUGGAUUGGCUAGUUGGUGGGGUAAAGGCCUACCAAGGCGACGAUCCAUAGCUGGUCUGAGAGGAUGAUCAGCCACACUGGGACUGAGACACGGCCCAGACUCCUACGGGAGGCAGCAGUGGGGAAUAUUGGACAAUGGGCGCAAGCCUGAUCCAGCCAUGCCGCGUGAGUGAUGAAGGCCCUAGGGUUGUAAAGCUCUUUCACCGGUGAAGAUAAUGACGGUAACCGGAGAAGAAGCCCCGGCUAACUUCGUGCCAGCCGCCGCAGUAAAAC